AACGAACGCUGGCGGCAUGCCUAACACAUGCAAGUCGAACGAGACCUUCGGGUCUAGUGGCGCACGGGUGCGUAACGCGUGGGAACCUGCCCUUAGGUUCGGAAUAACUCCCCGAAAGGGGUGCUAAUACCGGAUAAUGUCUUCGGACCAAAGAUUUAUCGCCUUUGGAUGGGCCCGCGUUGGAUUAGCUAGUUGGUAGGGUAAAAGCCUACCAAGGCGACGAUCCAUAGCUGGUCUGGGAGGAUGAUCAGCCACACUGGGACUGAGACACGGCCCAGACUCCUACGGGAGGCAGCAGUGGGGAAUAUUGGACAAUGGGCGAAAGCCUGAGCCAGCAAUGCCGCGUGAGUGAUGAAGGCCUUAGGGUUGUAAAGCUCUUUUACCCGGGAUGAUAAUGACAGUACCGGGAGAAUAAGCUCCGGCUAACUCCGUG
rnacentral:rRNA from 1 species